rnacentral:rRNA from 1 species
UACAGAGGUCCCAAGCGUUGUUCGGAUUCAUUGGGCGUAAAGGGUGCGUAGGCGGCGCGGUAAGUCGGGUGUGAAAUCUCGGGGCUUAACUCCGAACUUGCAGUGGGUACGGGCAGACUAGAGUGUGGUAGGGGAGACUGGAAUUCCCGGUGUAGCGGUGAAAUGCGCAGAUAUCGGGAGGAACACCGGUGGCGAAGGCGGUUCUCUGGGCCGUGUACUGACGCUGAGGAGCGAAAGCGUGGGGGAGCGAACAGG